rnacentral:rRNA from 1 species
UACCUGCAGCUCGAGUGGUAACCGCUAUUAUUGGGCCUAAAGUGUCCGUAGCCGGUUUGGUAAAUAUCUGGGUAAAUCGUGAGGCUUAACUUCACGAAUUUCGGAUAGACUGCCAGACUUGGGAUCGGGGGAGGUCAGAGGUACUCCAGGGGUAGCGGUGAAAUGUUGUAAUCCUUGGAGGACUACCGGUAGCGAAGGCGUCUGACUAGAACGAGUCCGACGGUGAGGGACGAAGCCCUGGGGCGCAAACCGGAUUAGAUACCCGGGUAGUCCAGGGUGUAAACGAUGUGGGCUUUGUAUUGGAGGUCCCACGUGGGCGUCCAGUGCAGAAGAGAAGUUGUUAAGCCCACCGCCUGGGAAGUACGGUCGCAAGGCUGAAACUUAAAGGAAUUGGCGGGGAGCACAGCAACGGGAGGAGCGUGCGGUUU